GUUUUUACACAGCUUCUUAUUUGGCUUGGGGGAUUUGCAGGCCAGUCUCGUGGGGAUGGUGAGCGGCAAGGCGGAGCUGAAGACGGACGUGCCCUUCACACUAGACGAUGGCAUCGACCGCAUAAAUUGUAUCAAAUUGUGCUACAUUGUUCUUCCCUGGAGGAAUUGGUGCAAAAUCUAUACCAAAACAAUUUCAAGUCCAGGACUAAAGGUUGGGUGGUUAGUCCGUGUUACUUGAGAUUGAAGUCUUUUAGCAGGAAUUACUUGGGUCCGUAUAGCUUCCUGGAAGGGUGCUGGUGUUGGAGACUAAAAUCAGCU
rnacentral:rRNA from 1 species